AAGUCGGUUGUGAAAGCCUUCCGCUCAACGGAAGAACGGCCUCCGAUACUGCAUGGCUUGAGUGUGGGAGGGGAGAGUGGAACUUCUGGUGGAGCGGUGAAAUGCGUAGAUAUCAGAAGGAACACCGGCGGCGAAGGCGACUCUCUGGUCCAUAACUGACGCUGAGUGUGCGAAAGCUAGGGGAGCAAACGGGAUUAGAUACCCCGGUAGUCCUAGCCGUAAACGAU
rnacentral:rRNA from 1 species